rnacentral:rRNA from 1 species
UACGGGGGGUGCAAGCGUUGUUCGGAUUUACUGGGCGUAAAGGGCGCGUAGGCGGGCCCUCAAGUCGGGUGUGAAAACCGGCAGCUUAACUGCCGGCCUGCAUUCGAUACUGUAGGUCUUGAGUACGGAAGAGGAAAGCGGAAUUCCAGGUGUAGCGGUGAAAUGCGUAGAUAUCUGGAAGAACACCAGUAGCGAAGGCGGCUUUCUGGUCCGAUACUGACGCUGAAGCGCGAAGGCUAGGGUAGCAAACAGGAUUAGAUACCCCCGUA